rnacentral:rRNA from 1 species
AUUGAACGCUGGCGGCAGGCUUAACACAUGCAAGUCGAGCGGGGGUAGUUGCUUCGGUAAUUGACCUAGCGGCGGACGGGUGAGUAAUACUUAGGAAUCUGCCUAUUAAUGGGGGACAACAUCUCGAAAGGGAUGCUAAUACCGCAUACGCCCUACGGGGGAAAGCAGGGGAUCACUUGUGACCUUGCGUUAAUAGAUGAGCCUAAGUCGGAUUAGCUAGUUGGUGGGGUAAAGGCCUACCAAGGCGACGAUCUGUAGCGGGUCUGAGAGGAUGAUCCGCCACACUGGGACGGAGACACGGCCCAGACUCCUACGGGAGGCAGCAGUGGGGAAUAUUGGACAAUGGGGGGAACCCUGAUCCAGCCAUGCCGCGUGCGUGAAGAAGGCCUUAUGUUUGUAAAGCACUUUAAGCGAGGAGGAGGCUCUUUUGGUUAAUACCCAAGAUGGGUGGACGUUACUCGCAGAAUAAGCACCGGCUAACUCUGUGCCAGCCGCCGCAGUAAGAC